rnacentral:rRNA from 1 species
UACAGAGACUGCAAGCGUUAUUCGGAUUCACUGGGCGUAAAGGGUGCGCAGGCGGCCGUGUGUGUGAGGCGUGAAAGCCCGGGGCUUAACCCCGGAAUUGCACCUCAAACUACAUGGCUAGAGCAUUGGAAAGGGUAGCAGAAUUCAUGGUGUAGCAGUGAAAUGCGUAGAUAUCAUGAGGAAUACCAGAGGCGAAGGCGGCUACCUGGACAAUUGCUGACGCUCAGGCACGAAAGCGUGGGGAUCAAACAGG